rnacentral:rRNA from 1 species
UACGGAGGGGGCUAGCGUUGUUCGGAAUUACUGGGCGUAAAGCGCACGUAGGCGGCGAUUUAAGUCAGAGGUGAAAGCCCGGGGCUCAACCCCGGAACAGCCUUUGAGACUGGAUUGCUUGAACAUCGGAGAGGUGAGUGGAAUUCCGAGUGUAGAGGUGAAAUUCGUAGAUAUUCGGAGGAACACCAGUGGCGAAGGCGGCUCACUGGUCCGGUACUGACGCUGAGGUGCGAAAGCGUGGGGAGCAAACAGG